CUUCACUUGGCUCUCAUUCUUCUCCUUCCUGUCACCAUGUGAAAGAUAUGCUUGUUUCCUCUUCUGCCGUGAUUGCUUAUAAACAGAAGGGACUUGCCUUGUCUCAGAUGAGACUUUGGACUUAGACUUUUGGGUAAUGCUGCAAUGAGCUAAGACCUGCGCUGAUGGAAAGAUGCAGAUAAGAAACGUGGGAAGCCACAAGAAAGCCAAGUAGCCUGGGAAAAAGUGGUCAUUGAGCCAUGAGAAAAAAUUAACAUUUGAUCCUGUUGGUGCCACCUGAAGGCAGAGAUGGCUGAGGACCCCCGAGUAAUGUAUGAAUGAAAGACUUAAGAAUACAUCUGACCCAGGCAGCCUGGGUUCAACUCUCCAUGUGAGAAUACCAAGCUUGGCUGGGCACAGUGCCUCACAUCUGUAAUCCCAACACUUUGAGAGGCUGCGGCAGGAAGAUUACUUGAAGCCAAGAGCUGGCGAACAACCUGGGCAACAAAGUGAGACUUCAUCUCUACAAUUUUUUUUUUAAUUAGCCGGAUGCAGUGGUGCACACCUGUAGUCUCAGCUUCUCAGGAGGCUGAAGUAGGAUUGCUUGAGCCUGUGAGCCCAGAAGUUUGAGACGGCAGUGAGUUACGAUCACACCACUGCAUUAGAGCCUGAAUGGCAGAGUGAGAGCCUAUCUCUAAACUAAGUAAACAAAUACAGACAUACAUACAUAAAGUAAGAAUUAUUAUAAUAACAAGAAUACAAGCAGUCUGCAAUUUGUGUUUAUGGUGCUAACUGCAACUCAUGUAUGUGGUACCCUCAUUUUUCACAAUAUCAUGGUAACUAAAUAACUGUGCAAAUUAAGAGUACAGUUCUUAUGUGUAUGUUUUAUAGUUAAUACAUACUGUUCAAAAAAAGAACUACCUGUACUAAAUAAGAAUAAUAUAGGUGGACUUGUCUACUGCCUAAUAAAACACAUGAUAAAGCACUACAAAUGAAAGACAAUAGUUCUUACAAGCAAAUAGGGAAUGCAGAGGAAAAAUAAUAGAGGGGCAUCUCAGUCAAGAUUCAAAUUUAGUUUAUAAUAAAUACAAAACUUUUCUCUCAAUUUCUGGAUCUGGAUUAUAU
rnacentral:lncRNA from 1 species